rnacentral:rRNA from 1 species
GCAUGCGUUGUCCGGAUUUAUUGGGCGUAAAGAGCGUGUAGGCGGCCGCACAGGUCCGUUGUGAAAACUGGAGGCUUAACCUUCAGACGUCGAUGGAAACCGUGCGGCUAGAGUCCGGAAGAGGAGAAUGGAAUUCCUGGUGUAGCGGUGAAAUGCGCAGAUAUCAGGAAGAACACCCGUGGCUAAGGCGGUUCUCUAGUACGGUACUGACGCUGAGACGCGAAAGCGUGGGGAGCGAACAGG